rnacentral:rRNA from 1 species
UACAGAGGGGCGAAGCGUUGUUCGGAAUUACUGGGCGUAAAGGCGCGUAGGCGGCCUGUUAAGUCGAACGUGAAAUCCCCGGGCUCAACCCGGGAACUGCGUCCGAUACUGGCAGGCUUGAAUCCGGGAGAGGGAUGCGGAAUUCCAGGUGUAGCGGUGAAAUGCGUAGAUAUCUGGAGGAACACCGGUGGCGAAGGCGGCAUCCUGGACCGAGAUUGACGCUGAGGCGCGAAAGCCAGGGGAGCAAACGGG